rnacentral:rRNA from 1 species
GACGAACGCUGGCGGCGUGCCUAACACAUGCAAGUCGAGCGGGGAUUUAAGUGGAAGUUCUUCGGAAUGGAGAUUUAAAUUCUAGCGGCGGACGGGUGAGUAACGCGUGAACAAUCUGUCCCGGACAGGGGGAUAACACUUGGAAACAGGUGCUAAUACCGCAUAAGACCACGGCCUCGCAUGGGGCUGAGGUAAAAGGAGCAAUCCGGUUCGGGGUGAGUUCGCGUCCGAUUAGCUAGUUGGUGAGGUAACGGCCCACCAAGGCGACGAUCGGUAGCCGGCCUGAGAGGGUGAACGGCCACAUUGGCACUGAGAGACGGUCCAAACUCCUACGGGAGGCAGCAGUGGGGAAUAUUGGGCAAUGGGCGAAAGCCUGACCCAGCAACGCCGCGUGAGGGAAGAAGGUUUUCGGAUUGUAAACCUCUGUCCUAUGGGACGAAGGAAGUGACGGUACCAUAGGAGGAAGCCCCGGCUAACUACGUG